rnacentral:rRNA from 1 species
AGAGGUGGCAAGCGUUGUUCGGAAUUACUGGGCGUAAAGGGCGCGUAGGCGGCUUUUUUAGUCAGACGUGAAAUCCCCAGGCUUAACCUGGGAACUGCGUCUGAUACUGGAAAGCUUGAGUGCGGGAGAGGGAUGUGGAAUUCCAGGUGUAGCGGUGAAAUGCGUAGAUAUCUGGAGGAACACCGGUGGCGAAGGCGGCAUCCUGGACCGACACUGACGCUGAGGCGCGAAAGCUAGGGGAGCAAACGGGAUUAGAUACCCCGGUAGUCCUAGCCCUAAACGAUGAGUGCUUGGUGUGGCGGGUAUCGAUCCCUGCCGUGCCGAAGCUAACGCAUUAAGCACUCCGCCUGGGGAGUACGGUCGCAAGGCUG